rnacentral:rRNA from 1 species
AACGCGAAGAACCUUACCUGGGCUAGAAGUGUAGAGGACGACAUCAGAGAUGAUGUUUCUCGAAAGGGUCUUUACAUAGGUGCUGCAUGGCUGUCGUCAGCUCGUGCCGUGAGGUGUUUGGUUAAGUCCAGCAACGAGCGCAACCCUUAUCGUUAGUUGCCAACAUGUAAUGGUGGGAACUCUAACGAGACUGCCUGGGUUAACCAGGAGGAAGGUGAGGAUGACGUCAAGUCCGCAUGGCCUUUAUGUCCAGGGCUACACACGUGCUACAAUGGUCGGUACAGAAGGCAGCGAAACCGCAAGGUGAAGCAAAUCCUGAAAAACCGAUCUCAGUUCAGAUUGUAGUCUGCAACUCGGCUACAUGAAGUUGGAAUUGCUAGUAAUGGCGUGUCAGCAACAACGCCGUGAAUACGUUCCCGGGCCUUGUA